rnacentral:rRNA from 1 species
GACGUAGGGCGCGAGCGUUGUCCGGAUUUAUUGGGCGUAAAGAGCUCGUAGGCGGCUUGUCGCGUCGACCGUGAAAACUUGGGGCUCAACCCUAAGCCUGCGGUCGAUACGGGCAGGCUCGAGUUCGGUAGGGGAGACUGGAAUUCCUGGUGUAGCGGUGGAAUGCGCAGAUAUCAGGAGGAACACCGAUGGCGAAGGCAGAUCUCUGGGCCGUAACUGACGCUGAGGAGCGAAAGCAUGGGGAGCGAACAGG